UCCGGUUUGUCACCGGCAGUCUCGCAUGAGUCCCCAACUAAAUGCUGGCAACAUGCGACGGGGGUUGCGCUCGUUGCGGGACUUAACCCAACAUCUCACGACACGAGCUGACGACAGCCAUGCACCACCUGUGAUCCUGUCCCGAAGGAAAGGCGUGUUUCCACGCCGGUCAGGAACAUGUCAAGCCCAGGUAAGGUUCUUCGCGUUGCGUCGAAUUAAACCACAUGCUCCGCUGCUUGUGCGGGCCCCCGCCAAUUCCUUUGAGUUUUAAUCUUGCGAUCGUAGUUCCCAGGCGGUUCACUUAAUGCGUUAGCUUCGGCGCGGCGGGAGUCGACACCCGCCACACCUAGUGUCCAUCGUUUACGGCGUGGACUAC
rnacentral:misc_RNA from 1 species